rnacentral:rRNA from 1 species
UACGUAGGGGGCAAGCGUUGUCCGGAAUUAUUGGGCGUAAAGAGCGUGUAGGCGGUUCGAUAAGUUUGCUGUAAAAGUCGGGGGCUCAACCCCCGAAAGCCGGUGAAUACUGUUGGACUAGAGUACGGAAGAGGCGAGUGGAAUUCCUGGUGUAGCGGUGAAAUGCGCAGAUAUCGGGAGGAACACCAGCGGCGAAGGCGGGCAUCUGGGCUAACACUGACGCUGAGGCGCGAAAGCUAGGGGAGCAAACAGG